rnacentral:piRNA from 1 species
UGCCAAAGCCCUGGAGAGGUGCCAAGCAGU